AAAAUCAUGAGGUUACGGUGUCCAUUUGGUUGGAGAGCCAUUUGAAUGGUUCCGGUAAGGUUGCGGUGUAAUGUAAUAUACCGAAUUUAAAUAUAAAAAUAAAUAAAUAAAUAAAAAUAGUAUGAGAUACUAUUUUAUUGGAUUUAGAGAAGUAAAACAUAAGUCAAAAGUGACUUGUGCUGAAAUCGGGAUGAAAACAGAAGAUCUGAAAUUUUCUGUU
rnacentral:lncRNA from 1 species